rnacentral:tRNA from 1 species
UCCCUGGCAGGCCAGCAGUUAAGACUCUGCCCUUCCACUGCAGAGGGCACAGGUUCAAUCCCUGUCUGGGGAA